rnacentral:rRNA from 1 species
GACCUGGCGGCAGCUUACCAUGCAAGUCGAACGAUGAAAUCUAGCUUGCUAGAUGGAUUAGUGGCGAACGGGUGAGUAAUGCUUAGGAAUCUGCCUAUUAGUGGGGGAUAACCAUCCGAAAGGAUGGCUAAUACCGCAUACGUCUUACGAGAGAAAGGGGGCUUUUAGCUCUCGCUAAUAGAUGAGCCUAAGUCGGAUUAGCUAGUUGGUGGGGUAAAGGCCUACCAAGGCGACGAUCUGUAGCUGGUCUGAGAGGAUGAUCAGCCACACUGGGACUGAGACACGGCCCAGACUCCUACGGGAGGCAGCAGUGGGGAAUAUUGGACAAUGGGCGAAAGCCUGAUCCAGCCAUGCCGCGUGUGUGAAGAAGGCCUUUUGGUUGUAAAGCACUUUAAGUGGGGAGGAAAAGCUUGUGGUUAAUACCCAUUAGCCCUGACGUUACCCACAGAAUAAGCACCGGCUAACUCUGUGCCAGCAGCCGCGGUAAU